CACGACUAAACAUGAUCGAUUAACCUCCAGACACAUUAUCUUUUGAUUGAUCAGGUUCAUGACGCGACAGGAAGCAGCGCGAGGCCGUCACACACUCACCUGUAGCCGCAGCACAGCUCACGUUGACACAUCCAACAGCUGGAUUCAGUCGUGUCGCUCCUCGUGCACACAUCAGUCCAGGUGUUAUCAUUCUGACCGCGUCUCACCUGCAGUGACUCGGUGUUAAGCUGCAGCUAUGAAGCGUGAAAAUCCUCAACAUGAGUGUGUCAGCAGCAGCAGGUGAAGCUUCAGGCCGGACUGAAGGAGACCACAAGAUGAAAACUCCUGAAGAACCCCUUCAGUGUUUCCUGUCAGAGGAUCAUCAGACGGCUGGAAAGUUGUGAAGUAGCGACACCUGCUGGAGUUCAGACGCCACAGCAGCAACUCUGACAUGGAGUCUGAAAACUGCUCAGCAUGUUUAAACUGGACUGAAAAUAUAAUCCACAGAGAGCAAAGAAGAAAGAAGCUCUUCACUCCAUAUUCUUUAAAAUACGUUAUUUAUAAUGUUUUUACUGAACCUUCAGUCUGUAAUCUACUGUGUGACAUCAGGACGUCUCCAGCUGUGACGACCAAACCAAGAAGAAGAAGAAGAAGAAGAAGAAGAAGAAGAAGAAGAAGAAGAAGAAGAAGAAGAAGAAGAAGAAGAAGAAGAAGAAGAAGAAGAAGAAGAAGAAGAAGAAGAAGAAGAAGAAGAGUCAAGUCGAAGUCCAGUUUGCUCUUCUGUUUCUUCCACCCUACAGUGAAGUUUGUGUGUUCCUGGCGUCUCUGUCAGAAUGUGUCAGGAGGCCGUCGAGUGUCUCUGAGGACAGAAUCAGGUUUUAAUUUGAACACUGAGCUCUGUCAGACUCAAAUCUGAGGAGUCUCCUGCGUCUCGCUGUCUGACGCUCCCGCUGAGACCUGCAGGGAGGAUUUACUCACAAACAGAUUCAUAUGCAAAGCUGGAACAGACUCUGCAGGGAGACGAUUCAGAGGAAGAAUCUUUGUCUUCUGGCCUGAAGCCGGCGGUGUUACAGAGACGACCGGACAAAGAUGGAGGGAGGUUUUAUGAUCUCCACGUUCAGACAUGGCAGACAGAACCGGAGCGCCUCAGGGCCCGGCACUCGGCCCACUGGUACCUCAGACAGCUGCUGCUGCUGGAGAAGAAGAAAAGCUUCAAAUCCAAAGACGCUAGAAACUGGAGAAUGUUUGACUUUAUUGAUAAAUGAAAAAUGGACUCAUAAACCUGUUUAAUGACGGACAAACAACAGGUGUAAGUUCUCACAUUAAAGGAGCCGUCUGUAGUUUUAUAGAAGAAACAUUAAUGAGAAGAGGAACAAACUAGAUAAUCAAACUCUCUCAGUAAACUGAACAAACAAACACACUUUAUACUGUUUUACUGUGUUUAUAUGUGGCGGACCCUGCCACCUCUGGGACUCUGAGAACAGCUUAUUGAUUCGAGAAAAGUUGAUAUCAUUACAUCAUUAAUAUUAUAAAUUUUGUGUUUUGAAUUCUUCCCGGCAGCAUGUCUUCACCUUCAGCUGCCAAACUGAAAUGUUAUUAAAAACCAACACAUGCUUCUUCAUGUAAAAACACGACGUCUGGUCAGAUCUCAUCUCAUCGACUCAGGACUGACUCUCACUCUCCACCAGGUGAUUCCUGUUCUAUAACCAGUGAAAUCACACGUUCACUGUGUCGCUGAGUCUUGAUUUUAACUCCUGACGGACGAUGAAUGUGUUCUUGU